GGAGGGGGCAAGCGUUGUUCGGAAUUACUGGGCGUAAAGGGCGCGUAGGCGGUAUGCCAUGUCAGGGGUGAAAGGCCUGGGCUCAACCCAGGAACUGCCUUUGAAACUGGCAAACUAGAGUCCGAUAGAGGAUGGCGGAAUUCCCAGUGUAGAGGUGAAAUUCGUAGAUAUUGGGAAGAACGCCAGUGGCGAAGGCGGCCAUCUGGAUCGGCACUGACGCUGAGGCGCGAAAGCGUGGGGAGCAAACAGGGAUUAGAUACCCUGGUAGUCCACGCCGUAAACGAUGUGUGCUAGACGUUGGGGGUCUUAGGCCCUGGGUGUCGUAGCUAACGCGUUAAGCACACCGCCUGGGGGAGUACGGCCGCAAGGUUA
rnacentral:rRNA from 1 species